rnacentral:rRNA from 1 species
GACGAACCGUGCGACCGUUGUUCGGAAUCACUGGGCUUAAAGGGCGCGUAGGCGGGUUCGCAAGUCUGUGGUGAAAGCCUCCAGCUUAACUGGAGAAGUGCCGUGGAUACUGCGAAUCUUGAGGAGGGUAGGGGCGUCUGGAACGGUCGGUGGAGCGGUGAAAUGCGUUGAUAUCGACCGGAACUCCGGUGGCGAAGGCGAGGCGCUGGACCCUUUCUGACGCUGAGGCGCGAAAGCCAGGGGAGCAAACGGG